CCAGGGACAGAUGCUACAGCUGAGAAGCACAAAUCAGGGUAUCUUGUGUUGCUACAUGAGGAUUUGAGAAGGGCAUGAGAUGAUGAAGUAUCAUCUUCAUCAUUCUUGUUUGAGUUAACGCCAGUGACAAUGGCAAUUAUAGCGGCAACCAGGAGCAAAGAAGCAAACAGAGAAAGAAAUAGCUUCUUGUGUUUCUUGGAGAAGGAAAUGAGCUUGCUGGUUUCUGGCAUUGCAGUCAAGCUUUGCUUAUCUUGGGUCAUUUUCUAUUACGGUAGCGUAUGC
rnacentral:misc_RNA from 1 species